rnacentral:rRNA from 1 species
UUUCCUACGGGGCGCAGCAGUGAGGAAUAUUGGUCAAUGGGCGGGAGCCUGAACCAGCCAAGCCGCGUGAAGGAAGAAGGCGCCAAGCGUCGUAAACUUCUUUUGUCGGGGAACAAAGGGCGCCACGUGUGGCGUUGUGAGUGUACCCGAAGAAAAAGCAUCGGCUAACUCCGUGCCAGCAGCCGCGGUAAUACGGAGGAUGCGAGCGUUACCCGGAUUUAUUGGGUUUAAAGGGUGCGUAGGCGGUCCGGAAAGUCAGCGGUAAAAGCCCGGGGCUCAACCACCGGACUGCUUUUGGAACUACA